UACGGAGGAUCCGAGCGUUAUCCGGAUUUAUUGGGUUUAAAGGGUGCGCAGGCGGGAGAUUAAGUCGGCGGUGAAAUUUUGCAGCUCAACUGUAAAAGUGCCUUCGAAACUGGUUUCCUUGAGUGUGGAUGAAGUAGGCGGAAUUUGUGGUGUAGCGGUGAAAUGCAUAGAUAUCACGAGGAACUCCGAUUGCGCAGGCAGCUUACUAAACCAUAACUGACGCUCAGGCACGAAGGCGUGGGGACCAAACAGGAUUAGAUACCCCCGUAGUCCCUGA
rnacentral:rRNA from 1 species